rnacentral:other from 1 species
ACCCUGCGAUGUUUGUGAUGCAGCCGCCAGUUUUGACCCAACACCUUUUAAAUGGGAUUCCGAACUCCGUUUAUGGCCGACAGGCCUCGCAAGUUCAGUGGAAGUCGAAAGUAAGCGGGAGGAAACCCACCUGCAUAUAGCAGGUUUCAAAACAGCGGCCCCACGGCAAAGCGGGGUCU